rnacentral:rRNA from 1 species
AACGUAGGUGGCGAGCGUUAUCCGGAUUUACUGGGCGUAAAGGGUGUGCAGGCGGGCUGUUAAGUGGUGUAUGAAAUAUCCCGGCUCAACCGGGAAGGGUUAUGCCAGACUGGCAGUCUAGAGAGCGAGAGAGGGACGUGGAAUUCCCGGUGUAGUGGUGAAAUGCGUAGAUAUCGGGAGGAACACCAGUGGCGAAGGCGACUACCUGGCCUGUUCUUGACGCUGAGGCGCGAAAGCUAGGGGAGCAAACGGG